CCCUCUGUAGCUCAAUUUGGUAGAGCGUCUGACUGUAGAUCGGAAGGUUCCUGGUUCGAUUCCGGGUGGAGGGA
rnacentral:tRNA from 2 species